ACUGAUGUAUUCAACGAGUAUAUAGCCUUGGCCGAUAGGCCCGAGUAAUCUGUCGAAAUUUCAUCGUAAUGGGGAUAGAUCAUUGCAAUUGUUGGUCUUCAAC
rnacentral:ncRNA from 1 species